AGGAAAUUUGAGAGGAGCUGUCCUUAGUACGAGAGGACCGGGAUGGACCAACCUCUGGUGCACCAGUUGUCACGCCAGUGGCACAGCUGGGUAGCUAUGUUGGGACUGGAUAAACGCUGAAAGCAUCUAAGCGUGAAGCCAACCUCAAGAUGAGAUUUCCCAUAGCGUAAGCUAGUAAGACUCCUGGAAGAACACCAGGUUGAUAGGUCAGAGAUGUAAGCAUGGCAACAUGUUAAGUUGACUGAUACUAAUAAGUCGAGGGCUUGACCAAAA
rnacentral:rRNA from 1 species